rnacentral:piRNA from 1 species
UCCACUGUGUGAGCCCAAAGUGGGAGGCGAG